AUUGAACGCUGGCGGCGGGCCUAAUACAUGCAAGUCGAACGAGUAGCGGACGGGCGGGUAAUUUCUGGGAACCUGCCUGAUGGAGGGGGAUAAGUAGGAGAAACCGUAGAUAAUACCGCUUAACAUCAUUUCUGCCCAGAGUGGAGUAGCGUGUUGGGGGGGUAACGGCUCACCAAGGCGACGAUGCCUAGCUGGUCUGAGAGGAUGACCGGCCACACUGGAACUGAGACACGGUCCAGACUCCGACGGGAGUCAGCAGUGGGGAAUAUUGCACAAUGGGCGCAAGCCUGAUGCAGCCAUGCCGCGUGUAUGAAGAAGGUUUUCGGGUUGUAAAGUACUUUCGUCAGGGAGGCGGUAUCCGCAGAGGAAGCAACGGCUAACUACGUGCCAGCCGCCGCGGUAAUAC
rnacentral:rRNA from 1 species